GGGGGAAAAUUAAUAAAAUAUAAAUAAUAAAAAAAUUUUUAAUAUUGGGGGGUAUUAAAGUAUUUUUUUAAAAAAAAAAUAAAUUAUUUUAUAGUUGAAUAGUAUUGUUAAAGAAAUUUGAAAUAAAUGAAAAUAAAUUAAUAAAAAAGUAAUUUUUAUUUAAUGUAUCUUGUGUAUCAGAGUUUAUUAAAGAAUAUUUUUUUUAUAAAGAAAUCUCGAAUUUAAAAGAGUUAAUUAAUUAUAAAAGUUAAUGUAGAAAAAUUAUUUUAAAUAAUUAAUUUGAAAUGAAAUGUUAAUCGUUUUUGAAUAUAUCUAGUUAUUUUAGAAAAAAAUUUAAUUUUAAAUUUAAAAAAUUUUAUUUUUAAUUAUAAUUAAAAAUAAAAUUUUUAAAUUAAAUAUAUUAAGGGAUAAGCUUUAAUAUAAAUAUUUAUAAUAAAAUAAAGUUUAAAUAAAAAUUUUAAAAUUUAUAUUGUUUAAAAAUUAUAAUUUAUUAUAAAAAAUUUUAUUUAAAAUAAAAUUUAAUUAAAAAAAUUUAAUUUUAUAUAAAAUAAUAAUAAAAAUAAAAAUAAAUUAGAAAUAAUGAUAAAAUUAGUAUACUAUAAUAAAAUAUAAUUUAAUUAAUUUAAAUUAAAUUAAAGGAAUUCGGCAAAAUUUUGUAUUCACUUGUUUAUCAAAAACAUGUCUUUUAGAUAAUAAUUUAAAGUCUAAUCUGCCCACUGAUAAAUAUAUUAAAGGGCUGCAGUAUAUUGACUGUACAAAGGUAGCAUAAUCAAUAGUCUUUUAAUUGAAGACUUGUAUGAAAGAUUUAAUGAAAUAUAAACUGUCUCUAAUUUAUAUAUAAAUAGAAUUUAAUUUUUUAGUUAAAAAGCUAAAAUAAAUUUAAAAGACGAGAAGACCCUAUAGAGUUUUAUAUUAAAAUUAUUUAAGGUUAUAUAUAUAAUUAAAAAUUUAAAAAUAAAAUUAAUAUUUUAUUGGGGUGAUAAAAAAAUUAAUUUAACUUUUUUUUUAUUAAAACAUAAAUAAGUGAAUAUUUGAUCCAUUUAUUAUGAUUAAAAGAAAGAAUUACCUUAGGGAUAACAGCGUAAUAUUUUUUUUUAGUACAAAUAAAAAAAAGAGAUUGCGACCUCGAUGUUGGAUUAAGAUAAAAUUUAAAUGCAAAAGUUUAAAAUUUUGAUCUGUUCGAUCAUUAAAAUCUUACAUGAUCUGAGUUCAAACCGGUGUGAGCCAGGUUGGUUUCUAUCUUUAGAAUAAUAAAAUAUUUUA
rnacentral:rRNA from 1 species